GAGCAUGGGUAAUACGGAAUGUAUGUC
rnacentral:sRNA from 1 species